rnacentral:rRNA from 1 species
GACGAAGGAUGCAAGCGUUAUCCGGAUUCAUUGGGUUUAAAGGGAGCGUAGGCGGCCCUGUAAGUCAGUGGUGAAAUCUCGCAGCUUAACUGCGAAAUUGCCAUUGAUACUGCAGGGCUUGAGUACAGUUGCUGUGGGCGGAAUAUGACAUGUAGUGGUGAAAUACAUAGAGAUGUCAUAGAACACCGAUUGCGAAGGCA